CAAGUCGAACGGGUGAGAGGAGCUUGCUCCUCGAUCUAGUGGCGAACGGGUGAGUAACGCGUGAGAAACCUGCCUUUCAGUGGGGGACAACAGUUGGAAACGACUGCUAAUACCGCAUAAUGUGCCGGGAGGGCAUCCUCCUGGUACCAAAGCUUUAUGUGCUGAAAGAUGGCCUCUACAUGUAAGCUAUCGCCAAAGGAUGGGCCUGCGUCUGAUUAGCUAGUUGGUGGGGUAACGGCUCACCAAGGCGACGAUCAGUAGCCGGUCUGAGAGGAUGAACGGCCACAUUGGGACUGAGACACGGCCCAGACUCCUACGGGAGGCAGCAGUGGGGAAUCUUCCGCAAUGGACGAAAGUCUGACGGAGCAAUGCCGCGUGAGUGAUGAAGGUUUUCGGACCGUAAAGCUCUUUUGUUUAUGACGAAUGUGCAUGAUGUGAAUAAUGUUGUGUAAUGACGGUAGUAAACGAGUAAGCCACGGCUAACUACGUG
rnacentral:rRNA from 1 species